AAAAAAGGCAAACUUAGAUUUCCGUGCUAACGUUUGACUGUCCGUCUUAUAUAAAAUUUUUCUAUAAUUAGUAUUUUCAUUGUUGUUGGAUGAUAAAAUAUGAUUAAUACUUUAAGUGACUUUUCUUUUUAAUUUUUUUUCAUAAUUUUUUUAAAUAAGAUGGACGGUCAAAUGUUGGACACGGAAAACAGAGUUUGUCCUUUUU
rfam:Oryza barthii chromosome 1, whole genome shotgun sequence.